rnacentral:lncRNA from 1 species
AGAGGAAGAAACACUUUUUUCAUUUUUUUGUGCUUCUCAGUAAGGCUUAGCACUGAAACAUGCAUCUCUAGUAAAUUCUGUAUGAUCCUCCCUCAACUCCCCCCCACCAAGGGGCUAGUUCUGUGCACCUCUAUUAAAUGCAAGGUGGAAAAUGGAUGGAGAAGAAUGGUACUUUUUUGGCUCACAGACUAAAUAGCCUAUGUUGGUAAAAACAGGUUUAGAGUCUUCACAGAAUACACUUUCUAAAGCCAAGCUCUCAUUUUCUUUUACACAACUAUUAAUGACCUCAGAAGGACAUCACAUUCCAUCUGCUUAAACCAGUGCCGUAGGAAUAACCCUUGAUUCUUUCAUUUUCCCAAAAUGCAGUCUAUCAGCAAGUCUUCCUGGAUUCACUUCUAAAACUGCUCAGUUGUGUUCACUGUUCUUCAUCUUGGUUCUUGUUUCCCAGGUCCAGGAGACCGUCAUCUCUUGCCUGGACUUUGGAACAAUCCUCCUAACUGAUCUGCUUGCAUCCACUUUGCCAACCCCCAACCCAUUUUCUACAUAGCAGUCACAGGAUCAUAAUCAUUGGUGCCUCAGCUUUCACAUGUGUAAAAUGGGAGUAGUGUUAGCACUUAUCGUAUUGGCCUCUUAUGAGGAUUAUACAAGAUCGUCAAAGUAAAGUCCUUAGCACAGUGUCUGACAAUCAAGUUGUUGUUGCUGUUUCCAUAAUUAAACCGUUAAACACCCUUUCUCUUUUCAUCAUGCUUUUCAUUUCUAAUCCUCUUAUUACACAGGCCAGAGACAUUUUUACUGGAAUGCAAAUCUGAUCCUCUCCAAAAGCUUCCCACUGCCUGCAGGAUAAACUCAAAUUUCUUGGCAUAACACUCAUGGUCCCUUAUGGUCUUUGACAUGCGUGGUCCCUGCCCACCUCUCUUACCUCACCUUUGACCACACUUCCUUCUUCCUGUCCCCAUUCUAAGCACACAUACACCUGCCCCUCUCCACGCUUUGACCAUACCAAACUUCAAUGCCAGUUCCAAAAAGCAUGGUAUACCCUCUCAGUCUGGGUCUUUGUAAGUUUUUUGUCUGUCUGAAAUGUCUUCCUCUCCUUUCUCUCCUCUCCUUCCCUGCAACAUCCAACAAUGACCCCAUGCCCAUGGCUAACUCCUACUCAGCAUUUGGGCUUCACUUAGGGUAAAUGCCUGGUCACCUUCAGCUUUCCCUGAGCCUAAUAAGGAUGCGUUAGGUUUGCCUUUGUUGUGUUCCCAUAACAUCCUUCAUAUGCAUCUGUGGUAGAAUGUAUAUAACAGGAUGUGAGAAUGGAAAUCUUAGCUGAGGCCGAAGGAAACAGAAACGUUAUCCCAUUAGGAGAUGUAGGACAUAAAUAAAAUUUACAAAGAGGUAGAGAAAAAGGCUUAUUUGACUUCUCAAACUCCUGACCUAUAUCAAGAUAAAAAAGAGUUAAGCAUUAUAAAUGAGAGAAGAAUUGAGGGGAACAUGCCCCUGUCGAGGGUUAUGGCUAUAAAUCCAACCUACUUUACCUAAAGAGGAAAGAGAGAGGAUGGAAGGAAGAAUUGCCAGCUGUAAAGCAUGGCAUGAAGAAAGCAUGAGCGCAAGUUCUAGAAUCUAGAUUCCAAGGUCUACCUCAUUAUUUGCUGUGUGACUUUGAAAAAAAGAAUCACUAGAAUUUAAAAGGACAAAGAUGACUUCGAUCACUUCGAUGGUCCUUUCAAGCCUUAACAUUCACAAUUCUAUGGUUUUGGUAAGGAGAAAUCCAUGUCAACGUCCCCUCUAAACCAGAGGAUUAGAUGAGAUGGAGUAACUUAUUAUAUAUAUAUUUUUUUCAUUGAGAGGGAGAGACAGGAAGAGAGAGAGAGAAAGAGAGAGGGAGCUUGAGUUUCCCAGAACCUUUUAGAACAGACUCUUUAAUUCUGAGAAUGUUAUAGCCAAAUACCACUUCGAGCCCAGUUAUUUUGCAUAGCUUUUCUAUCAUGAGUGGCUCUUGUCUCAAAGCUGUCCUUUACUUCUAGGAACCACCCACCCCUGGGGUGGGGUUGGGUCACAUGGUGGCCCCCAAAACAAUACGUUCACACUCUAAUCCCCAGAACAUGUGCAUAUGACCUUAUCUAGAACAAGGGUCUUUGCUGAUGUAAUUAUGUUAAGAAAUUCAAGAUAAGAUCACCAUAGAUUAUCAGGGGAGGCCCUAAAUCCAUUGACAAGUGUCCUUAUAAAAGACAUGCAAGGAAAAGAGAAGGUCAUGAGAAGAUAGGCAGAGAAUCUUUAUGUACCAUGGACCGAGGAAUGCUCACAGUCACCAGGAGAUGGAGGAGGCAAGGGAGGCUCCCCUAGAGCCGUGGAGGGAGCCUGGCUCUGCUGACCCCUUGACUUGGGACUUCUGGCCUUUGGAACUGUGAGAGUACACAAUGCAGCUAUUCGAAGCCCCCCAGUUUGUGCAAAUUUGGUACUGCAGCCCCAGGAACUGACCUACCUCCUGUGAUGUUCUUUUGAACAGAACUUGUGUUCUAGAAUCAUUACUCCCUGUGCCUCACCAAAGCUUGUCAGCUCUUGGGGUGAUAUUCCUGACGGAAGUGGCUAGGUGCAUACCGAAGCCAUCUGGUAAGCCAAGGUCUAUCUCCAUGUCUUGACAACGGUGGAUACAUUUUCACUUCUCCAGAGACUCUUCUGCCCCUAUACAAGAGUAAUAUGAUAUUUUUAUAAUUGUUUGUCUUUCAAAGAGCUUUCAGGAACAGGAGGUCAUUCUUCCAGCAUGCCCCAUUAGAUACACUGGAGGUAUUAUCGUGCUCAUCUCGUAGAGGAAGAAACUGAGCAACCAAAGAAAAAUGAUUUUCCUCAGGACACCCAAGCCAUAGUGGUAUGGAUCAGACUGGUACCCAAGUUUCUGGAUCAAAGGAUACUAUUGUCAAAGGACCAUUAGAGAGAUAUCUUGAACACAAUAGCAAGGGAAAACUUCUCAAAUCAUAGCGAUGGGGGACUGUUGAUGCUGGUUACUGGCAAAGCUGUUAACUAAUGAGUCACUAACCCUCUACCAAUACUAUGAAAGUAACUCUCAUGUCCCUUAGAGGGAAAGUCACUUUCUUAACACUGGUCUGCUGGAUCUGGCCCCACUUCUUACCAUGGCCUCUUCUUCCUCCCCUCAAUUCCUGCACUCCACUAACAAACCCAGCUAGUGGGUUCAAUCCCUGACCUCGCUCACUGGGUUAAGGAUCCUGAAUUGCUACGGCUGUGGUGUAGGCCAACAGCUGCAGCUCCGAUUCGACCCCUCACCUAGGCCUAGGAACUUCCAUAUGCCAUGAGUGUGGCCCUGAAAAGUUAAAAAAAAAAAAAGUUUCUAUGUCACAAGAUAUGUGCUGUUCAUGGCCAGACCUUUGCAUCCUGUGCAUGAGAUGACCAGGCAAGCGGAGCCCCCAGGCCCUGCUCUGGCUGCCUCCACACCAAACAUCAGUGACAGCCUGAAAGUAUCAAAAUAGCAUCUCUGAAUGAAAAGUAAAUAAUGAUUUGAGAUUUCUCUCUCUCUUUUUAUUUAUAAGGAAAAACUAAAUAUAUCAGGAGGAUAGACAAUCACGGAUUAACUGCCUGAGAUCUUCUGGUAUAAUUAGGAAAGUUGGUCCCUGGAACCACUGUCACAUCCAUUUGAGACAGUUAGUGCAGCUCGGGGCUGGUACUGUACCACAUCCACAACCCAGGACUCACAGCUUCCUUAAGGAGAGGAAGAUGGAACAUACUUUAAUGCAUGGAGAAUGGAUGGAUAUUGUAAACCUGAAUUAAGUCUUAGUCAAAGAGGCGUGUGUGUGUGUGUGUGUGUGUGUGUGUGUGUGUGUGUGUGUGUGUAUCAGUAUGUCUGUGAAGUUGCAAAUCUUAUUGGCAGGACUUUGAUCCAGAAGUUUAAGGCUGCUAGUUAAACUGAAGUGAAAAUAAAUGAAUUUCUGCCAUUUCUACUCAGGGCCUGCAAGGAGACAGUAAGUCCUUGAUCACAUCAUUGGCGAAUAAUGAAACGAGUCCUUCUUGCUGCCGUCAUCCCUCCGUUUUACCCUGAAAGGAGAAUCCUAGCCAUGGUAGAGAGAAAAGGGCACCAGACUGGCGGCCGUCAUUCCCAUGGGCCUGGCUCAAAGCCCGGCAUUUUUACCUUGAAGGCAACUGAGUUCGGACAAGCCCUUCCCGUCAGCUUGUCUCUUCAUCUCAAAAUACCACUAUCUCACCUGCCUCCAAGACUCGUAGUAAGAAUCUAACUUGACCAUAAGUAUUAAAAAGGAUCAGUAUUACAUGACAGACAUUUCAGGCCUCCUGUGUUCAAAUUCUGGCUCUACCCCAAGAUGAGUGUUCGAACUUCUGCAAAUUGUUUAAAGUUCCUAAGACUCAGUUUUCUCACUGGCAAAAUGGGGCCACUAAUAGUGCCUUCUUCACAGAGUUGUUGUAAGGAUUAAAACAAUUCACAAAAAGCUUCUUAGAACAUGCAGAUAAAGCUCAAAACAUUAUAAUUACUGUAACAAUUGUUUUAAUUUUUGGUUAAUGGUUAAUUGAAUGGUUGGAGCUCCCUGAUGGCUCAGCUGGUUGAGAAUCUGGCAUUGUCCCUGCUGUGGUGCAGGCUUCAGUCCCUGGCCUGGGAACUGCCGUGUGCCCAUGGGCAUGGGCAAAAAAAUAAUUGUGAUAAUUAUUUAGACAAGGUCUUGACAUGCAAAAGACGCUUAGGAAAUAAUGGAUAAGCUAAAUUUUGCAACUAGCCACUUUGAGCAAAAAGUUUUUCCUUUCUGGGGUAUUCCAGCCAGAAUAAAUCUAUCCACAAUGAGUUUCAAUCUAGACAGUAACAGGCAGAUGCCAGGACAGCCAGGUGGCUGUGCUGCUCCAGGAUUCAUGUUAGGGAAUAAAUAUGUUAGAGAGGCCGAGCAUUGAUAAAGAGCCACAGUUCUAGAAAUGAAAGUCAUGGAGAACCACUUGAAUCUCCUAAAAAACGGAGGCUUUGAAGGGACUAAUGCAUAACUCCCAAUCUACAGGAGUUAUUUUGCUUGAUUCUCCCUAUACACUGUUACAGCAGCUGCCCAGCAGCCCUGUGCUGCAGUAUAUCAGCUCUAGCACAGCCCUGUGGCUGUAGUGUGCCAGCUCUAGUGACAACCCUGUGGCUAUAGUGUACCCGCUCCAGCAGCUCUGUGGCUGCAGUGUAUCAGCUCUUUUAUCCAGGAAGAAAGCAAGCGAGAGUUGGAGAACUCAGUUUUAUUACGCCCGCAGGCUCGGAGGAGAUUGCUCUCUGGAGUCUGAGCCCGAAAGAAGGGUUUCACAAGGCUUUUAUGGGCUAGCUCUUCUGGGUCCGUGCUUGGGGGACGGGAGUGAGGUCAGGCAAGGUAGUAGAUGCGGAACAAGUGUAUAGAAGCAGAUGUGUGGGGAAGGGCUGGUUAGGGGCAGUUGGCUGGACUUUGCUUAGUCAUCAUGGCCGGGGUCUCUCCUUUCUACAUUUUCAUCAGGACAUUUUCUUUUACAACUCUAUAGAUUAGCCUUGUUACAUAUCUACACAUGAGGAGAAUGUAAAAACAAAUUGUUCUGGAUUCACAUUCGCGUGAUCUGACUCCCAAAGCCACAAAACUGCUCUCUUUGCAGGAUAAAGCCAUGAGCAAGAUCAAAGCCCUUGUGUAACUGUGCAAAUUAAGACAGCUCCAUACAUGAUGGAAGUUAAGACCUUCAACUGAAAAAAAUUCACAACCCAAAGUUGAGAAUCAUGUUUUAUUCUGAGGACUUAAGCCCGGGAGACAGGCUCUUAGACAGCUCUGAGGGGCUGCUCUGAUUAGGUAAGGAGGGAGCCAGAAUAUAUUGGAGUUUUUGGAAAAAGAAACAAACAAAAAACCCCUGAAGAAACCCAGGUAGUUGGAAUAUCAAAAGAUUACUGUUGGAGUUCCUGUCUUGGCACAGUGGUUAACGAAUCCAACUAGGAACCAUGUGGUUGUGGGUUCGAUCCCUGGCCUUGCUCAGUGGUUUAAGGAUCCGCGUUGCCGUGAGCUGUGGUGUAGGUUGCAGACGUGGCUCAGAUCCCACAUUGCUGUGGCUCUGGCAUAGG